rnacentral:lncRNA from 1 species
CGGCUGUCAUGGUUGUCUGUGUUUUUAUAGAUUUUAUAAUAGUAGUGAUCCUUUAGUCUCCUGUCCUAGUCUAAUGUCUCAGCCAUCUGCUGGACUCUCCCAGUUCCACACUGAGCUGCUUUAAAAGGUGAUUGUUUUCCUCAAUGUAUGAUAUCACAAUUAUUUGGGUACUCGAAUUUCAUGGCCAGUGGUCACCUUCAUGAAUAAAAUUUCAUGACAGUGGCCUAGCCUGCCUUUGCCAAGCCGUUAGCCUGGCCCCACUCUAUAAAACUCUACCACACACAGCACAGUAGGUUAAUGAUUGUGUGAGUGAAACUACUGUUACCGUCCCCGCUGAAGGUUAUCGGCUUUGACAGCGUUUGCUCAUGUCCAGUGAACCAUAAGUCAUAUUGUAAGAGUACUUAUCACUUACUGCCAAGGCAAUUCAUGAGCAGUUUGUGAGGAAAAAAAUGUGAGCAGGGAUGAGGAGGACACAUGAAAUUUUGGAGGGGAAAAAUAAAGUAUUAGGCAAUGCUAACUCAUCAAAAUGGGCCAAGAAAUAGGCUGUAAAAGAGAUGAAACAAUAAGAGAGCCAUCAUCAUGGAGAUAACUACAGGACCAUCCAUGUCAGUCUGGUACGUACAUUCACUUGCUCCCAUACCAGCCCGAUUUGAAAGCAAUCUGUGACAUUUGGGCUCCAGUAGAACACUUCUUGCCAUGAGAUCACUGCAUAGUUUCACAAAUAUUAUUGAAGUCUCACACAGUGCGUGUGAGGUAGAUCAGUGAAGUUAUCUCAUUUUUUCAGAUGAGUAAAAUACAGCAUAGAGAGGUGAUUGAUUUUUUUUUUUUUUCUUUUUCUUUUUUUUCCCUGAGACCACAGCAAGCCAUCUCUAAAGCCAGAAAUGAGAUCCCAAGAGUCUUGGCUCCUUCAUCCUGGUUUUAUAACCUGCGCCGCACUACCUCUGAUUGAACAGAGUCCUGAGGCUGAUUGGCAACAUCAUGGUUCUAAUCCAAAAGAAACCCCUAAUAAUUUUCCUUUUGAAAAGCAGAGGGGUAAACUUCCAUCCAUAUUCAGAAGUCUGCUGACAGUAUUGCACAACAUUGCAUAUUUUCUGCGAUUGAUUUGAGCAACAGGAACAGCAAAAGUCCAAAGGCAGCUCAAGUACCCUGUUCACAAGAAUCUAUUGCCAGAAAAAACGCCUCUGGAAAGAAGCUGGGGGAACUGGAUGAUGCAUCUUUGUCUCUGAGAAGGUGAACUUGAGAAAGGCUUUGGUAAGUUUCCUAAAUAUACAACAGAAUAUUUAUCUUCAGCCUUGAUCCAGGGAAAAAGGAGUACUGUUUCCUGAAAGGGAGGAGAGGCAGGAAAGCUUUUGGAUUAACACCCCAUUGUGCAGGUAGAAUCCCAGAGGGAGGUAAUGUGUAAUAUCGUUAAAAAUUUUUUAGAAAGUGAGUAGAUGUAAAAUACUUAUUUCUGAAAGAUUUGACACUCGGCCUUAUGUAAAAAAAAAAAAAAAAGGUAUAGAUGGUUUUAAUUUCAAAUUAGCUGUGACUCCCAUAGUGUGUUAUUAAAAAAAAAAUGUUUUUCACUUGGAAUUCUCAGUGUUUUAGAAGAGAGAGAAAUACAGAUUUGUCCAAUUUCACGUGCAAGUCCCAGGGCAGUGACAGUGUGCUGAGGCUGUGGGGUCCAGGAACUGCAGCACAGAACCCAGAGUGAGAAAACCUGGCAUCCACUUGUCAGUCCUGAAAAAUACCACAUCCCUUACCUGCUUCUACCUUUUGAGAGCUUUGCUUUGCAUAUAUAGAGAUAUUUUUUUAAAAAUCUUAAAUUACAGGAAAGCAUUAUAACAUUAAAUAGCUGCAUCUGAAGCACACUGUGUGUAUGAGGAAACUCAAUAUGGCUGAUAGGGUAUUGCCUUCUCGAUAAACCACCCUUCACUUCCAGUGCCCACCGCAUGAAAAAUGAGGAGAUUCGUUGAACAAGAUUGCCCUCUGCGGGCUGCACACACCUCCUUCCCUCACUGUGAUAUUCGUUCCCCUUUUCUACACAGGCAAAUUAAAUAUGCUGUGAACAUAAUGGAGUUUGGAUUAAAAAAAAAAAACCCACACAAAAAAACCCCAGUAAUUACUUGAAUAGAUAUUUGGGGACAGCUCUUUAUUCUUACUGAGAAUGGGUCCCAAACAUUAAUUUAAUUUGCCUAAAUAGCUCCUGCUUAGGUUUGCUGUUAUCUGAAGGCAAUGAGCUAAUGGAGAUGAUGCAGAAGGGAUUUGAUUUAGCCCUCUAGCUGUUUGUUCAAGUUGAGCUACCAGCACAGACCAUAACCAGCAUCUGGUCUAAUGAGCUACAGUGAGAGUCCCGCUGAUUGUAUCUUUGUUGUACCGGAUAACAAGGAAGAAUCACGCUAAAACAGACUUCUGGUGAAGGCUGUGAGAGUAAAUACAGCUCUUGGGAGAUGGAGGAGCGAAUACCUUGCAACUCCUUACCUAAUCUCUGCUGAAUAAUGAUCUCUUAAGAAUCUCAUUUUUAAACUAAACCAAAAAUCAUCACCAUGGUUUAUAAUUUUCAUAUAACAGCAGGUACAAGUCAAUAUCAUAAAACAGCGUAUGAAUAUGACAGGUGUUUAAGCAUUUCACUCAAUAUAUUGUUGUGUGAUUCCUUGACAAUAGGACUGAAGACUAAAUAGGGUAAAAGUGUGAUUUUUAAAAAACUGAAUGAAUGAUAUGUAACUCUGAACUUUAAAACCAGCAAAACUAUGUUGAAAUAUCCCUGCAUAGCUAUAGCAAUUAGGGAUGUCAUUUUGUAUUCAUAAUUGACAUAGCAACAUCAACAAAACCUCUAGUACAAAUACAUUGACGAACCUGCUUAUGUUGGUAUAAUACACGUUAGCUCAGGAGGCAGGGUAAACUUUGCCUUUAAACACUCUUAUUUCAAAACAGUUUGCAGAGAGAAAUUAUUUAGCCUCUUCUUUCUUUUUAUAACAUACUAUGUGCGCUUGCAAAAGAUGGAAAAUGUCCCUUAAUAGUAAUAAUUAAGUAUAAUACCGUAUCUGAAAUAAUAGUAAAAUUGCAAAGAGUGCAGUAAGACUCUCCUGGGUCUCUGAUCACCGACUCAUAAAUAGCAAGGGCUCCAGGCCAGAGAAGACUAAAGAGUCAGGCAGCCUUGUUUCUAGCAGAACCUGAAGCCCACUAGGAGUUCAUAGAUCUAGAAUAGUAGCUGAUUUCAAUAAGUAACUUUAAUCAGUAAAUUCCAAUGGAAAAAGACUUAAUCAGAUUUUUUUCUCCUGAGUAGCUCAAUAAAAUAUGUACUCUGAAACA